UCUCCGGCUCCCGCAUGAUGGUGCCCGGACUGGGGCCGUGGCUGCUGGCCUUGGCCUUGGCGUUGAGGCCAGCAGGGGUGUGGGCGCAGUUCAGGCUGGAGGAGACCGGUGGAGGGCUGCGAGCGCCCGGGGACUCCGUGCUCCUCUCCUGCCGCGGAUCCGGCUUCAGCUUUGGAAGUUACGAGUUUCUGUGGUACCGUCAGGCACCCGGAGGCACACUCGAGUGGGUGUCCUUCACCAGAGCCUACUCCGGUAGCACGGAUUACGCAGCAGCGGUGGAAGGUCGAGCCACUGUCUCCCGGGACAAUUCCCAGUCUGUGGCAUCUCUAUUCAUGCGUGCCCUGCAGCCUCAGGACUCUGCCCGCUACUUCUGUGCCGUUCACACGGAGACAGGAAAUCCAGCUGAGCUUUUACACAAUCCUGCUGCGCCCGGCCCAAGUUAACAUUAGAUGAGGGGAAGGCAGGUGUUCGGCCAUUUCCAGGAAAGCCGGCCUUCCUCGCGCCUGUGGGCGAAGACAAAAGCCGUAACUCCAAACGUC